rnacentral:rRNA from 1 species
ACGGCGAGUGAAGCGGCAACAGCUCAAAUUUGAAAUCUGGCCUUCACGGUCCGAGUUGUAAUUUGUAGAGGAUGUUUUGGGUACCGCCGCGGGUUAAUUUUCUUGGAACAGAAUGCCAAAGAGGGUGAGAGUCCCGUCUUGGCCCGCGGUAGGGCUCGUGUAAAACUCCUUCGACGAGUCGACUAGUUUGGGAAUGCUGGUCAAAAUGGGUGGUAAAUUUCAUCUAAAGCUAAAUAUUGGCCGGAGACCGAUAGCGCACAAGUAGAGUGAUCGAAAGAUGAAAAGCACUUUGAAAAGAGAGUUAAACAGUAUGUGAAAUUGUUGAAAGGGAAGCGCAGGCAACCAGACUCGUGCGCGGGGUUCCCCCUUGCUUCUGCUUGGGUCAUUUCCCCGUGUCCGGGCCAUCAUCAGUUUCGGGGGCCGGUUAAAGGCUCUGGGAAUGUAUCCUCGCCUUCGGGGGAGGACUUAUAGCCCAGGGUGUCAUGCGGCCACCCGGGACUGAGGCACGCGCUUCGGCGAGGAUGAUGGCGUAAUGGUUGUCUGCGACCCGUCUUGAAACACGGACCAAGGAGUCUAACAUCUAUGCGAGUGUUCGGGUGUCAAACCCUGGCGCGGAAUGAAAGUGAACGGAGGUAGGAAGGCUCACGCCCGCACUAUCGACCGAUCCUGAUGUCUUCGGAUGGAUUUGAGUAAGAGCAUAGCUGUUGGGACCCGAAAGAUGGUGAACUAUGCGUGAAUAGGGUGAAGCCAGAGGAAACUCUGGUGGAGGCUCGCAGCGGUUCUGACGUGCAAAUCGAUCGUCAAAUUUGCGUAUAGGGGCGAAAGAC